GACGUAGGAGGCGAGCGUUAUCCGGAUUCACUGGGCGUAAAGCGCAUGUAGGCGGUUGCACAAGUCCGUUGUUAAAGCCCCUGGCUCAACUGGGGGAGGUCAAUGGAGACUGUGCGACUUGAGGGCAAUAGAGGCACGUGGAACUCCCGGUGUAGCGGUGGAAUGCGUAGAGAUCGGGAAGAACACCGGUGGCGAAGGCGGGUCUCUGGGCCGAUACUGACGCUGAGGAGCGAAAGCGUGGGGAGCGAACAGG
rnacentral:rRNA from 1 species